AGCUCCCACCAAAGACACAGUGGAAGAAAAAGCUGUGAAGUGAAGUAGUUGGGUGGAAGGGCUAAAAAUACACUUGCUUCAAUGAAGUGAGAGUACACCUUCCCCCUGAAGCUGUUGUCUCAUCCACUCCUUCACUCUUCCCUUCUUUGCCUCCCAGCCUGGCUGCUGGUGAAAUGCACAGGAGCCAACGCGAGCUUCUUUUUAAGUGCCAGUGUAACCCAGCCCACAUUUCCCUGCAGCCUGCCCUCUUACUACUUUACACCACUGAACAAAGUAUCCCAUACACCCCCUUCCUCUGUAAUUUUCUCCCUUCCCUUAAUUCCGUUUCUGUACACCAGCCUGACAGGAUUUGGAUGGCUGGCUGAUCAGAAGUUUCAUUAACAAGCAAGAUGAGAUACAGACUAUGACACACUGGUGCAGUGUGCCUGCCUUCUUGGCUCCCUGUAGAAUAGUGGCUCCUCACUAACCGGCAGUGGAGUGUCUGGGAGGGACUCCACAUACUUUGCUCUCAGUUCCCUCCUUUAGCUCAGUCGGGAGGGGGAGUUAUAAAGACAGGGCAAAUGAAAGAGGGGAUAAGGGAAUGAAGCUGGAGGGUGGGGGGGUGGCAGGACUCUGGACAAAAGGACUGAGAGAUCAGCAGAAAAAGGAAGCAAGUAACAAAAAAAUGUACAGACUCAAGAGCAUGGAGGAGAUUCUAGGAGAGCUGGACAGGCCUGAAGAAGGUCCUCAACUCAUCAGAAGGAUGAGUAUCUGCUCCUUUGUGCAAAGAGCCCUCUGACCCCUCUGAUCUUCCAAUUUGCUCAGCUGUCUUUCAACAGUUUGAGUCGGUUACUCUUGCUCAGUUACAGGAGGUGGUGGAUCAUUUAAAGCCUGUAGGCUCACCUUAUGAUCCUAUCCCUCCCCUUUUUCUGAAAGAAGUUUUUUCUACUAUAGGUCCAACCAUUUUAACCAUUUUAAAUAGCAGCCUUACUUCAGGUAUGGUUCCAAAGAAUUUCAAAGAUGCAAUUGUGCAACCACUUCUUAAGAAACCUGGGCUAGAUACAAACGCUGUUGAGAACUUUAGACCAAUAUCUAAGCUGCCCUUUUUAUCUAAAGUCUUGGAAAAAAUUGUAUAUGACCAAUUGAUCUCAUACUUGAAUGCACAAAAUGUUGAGGAGAUUUUUCAAUCUGGUUUUAAAGCAAUGCAUAGCACUGAAUCAGCACUUUUAAGAAUUUUUAAUGAUAUAUUUUUAUCCUGUGAUUCUGGUGAAAGUGUCAUUCUUAUUUUACUCGAUUUAACUGCUGCAUUUGACACUGUAGACCAUGAAAUUUUAAUCUCACGUUUGGAGCAGUGUGUCGGUAUAACAGGUGUGGCUCUGAAAUGGUUCAGGUCUUACUUAACAAACCGAACCUUUUCAGUUCGCUUAGGAAACUGUGAGUCCUCCCGAGCUCCGCUGUCUCACGGAGUACCACAGGGUUCCAUUCUGGGCCCUAUCCUGUUUUCACUUUAUUUACUUCCAUUGGGCUCAAUUUUUAGAAAACACAGACUCUCGUUUCACUGUUAUGCAGAUGACUGCCAGAUUUAUGUUCCUCUUAAAAAGAAAGAUGGGUCGUCUGUAAAUCGUUUACAAACAUGUCUGGAGGACGUCAAGUCGUGGUUGGCGCUAAACUUUCUUUGUUUUAAUGAUUCUAAAACUGAAGUAAUGGUGUUCAGACCUGCCUCCACUGCUGUUCCGUGUGUUGAUUUGCAAUCCCUGAAAUCAUUCUGUAAACCAGAGAUUGUUAAUCUGGGUUUUAAAAUGGAUCCUGAGCUUAAGCUUGAAAGCCAGAUCGGGUUGGUUGUAAGGUCUAGUUUCUUUCAUCUGAGGCAACUGGCCAAAAUUAAGCGCUUUCUUACGAGACAGCAAUUUGAAACAGUAAUCCACGCUUUUGUAACCGUUCGGCUGGAUUACUGUAAUUCUCUUUAUUUUGGGGUGAGUCGAUCUUCUGUUUUUUGACUGCAGUUAGUCCAGAAUGCUGCUGCACGCCUUUUAACUGGCACGCGUAGAUACGAGCAUAUCACCCCAGUUUUAUAUUCACUACAUUGGCUGCCCGUGCAUUUUAGGAUCCAUUUUAAGCUGCUUUUAUUUGUUUUUAAAUGUUUGUCCAAUGCUGCCCCUGUGUACCUCUCUGAGCUUCUUCAUCCAUACAUACCUUCCCGGUCCCUCAGGUCGGCAGACCAGCUCCUCCUGAGCGUGCCCAGGACUAAUCGUAAGCUCAGAGGGGAUCGGGCGUUUGCUGUGGCAGCACCAAAAUUGUGGAAUGAGUUGCCUUUACAUGUUAGACAGGCACCUUCCUUAUCUGUUUUUAAAUCACGUCUUAAAACAUAUUUAUUUACCUUGGCUUUUAGCACAGCAGGACUUGUUGAUGUCUCUUAAUAUGUUUCUUAUUAAUUAUAUUAUUUUUAACUUUAAGAUAUUUUAUAUGUAAUUUAAACUGUUUCCUCUCUGUUUUAUAUUUGUAGCACUUUGGUCAACAUUGUUGGAUGUAAAGUGCGUUAUAAAUAAAGAUGCUAUGCUAUGCUAUGCUAAGAGGAACAGAAAUGACAGGGAUUUCGUAUUACACAGACAGAGCCCUUAAAAAUAGCUUCCAGCAGGCCACUGGUGUGAGUGUCUCUGACCAAACAAUCAGAAACAGAUUUUAACGUGGUCUGAGGGACCUGUGCUCACCGCUCCACUGUGGACCCUCAUUGGCAUUUGUCAUAGGAAACCAGAAAUGGCAGGUCCACCACUGUCACCCUGUGAUUUUCACAGAUGAGAGCGGGUUCACCUUGAGGACAUAUGACAGAUGUAAAAGGAUCUGGAGAAGCUGUGGAGAACAUGCUGCCUUUAACAUUAUCGUUCUGGGUAGAUGAUGGCCACCAGGUUGCACCUCAGACUGUCCAGGAGCUGGUCCAGGUCUGGGAAGAGAUCCAGUUCAUAUUAAUAUAGAUAUCCACAGCUGAACUGCAGCUUUCCUCAAUGAAAUCCAGGGAACUGUACCAAGCGCCAUGAUUGCAUCCAAAGGUGUGGAGCGAAUCGAGCGAUGAUCAUCAUCCUCACCCCCACCGUUGUUGUCAUCGCAGAGGGCAACCGCCGUCGACAGACCUGGAGUUAUUUUAUUUAAACCACACUGACCUCUAGUGGACUUAACAAAUAAUACAAGUGACUUUCAUCCGGGCUCCUUAAAAACCUGCAAAAUUAUUUUAAAUUAUUUUAUCAAGCAAACUAUGGGACGUGUAAAACAUUACCCCCACCAAAAAAUAAAUGUAAAAAAUUGUACUCUAUUUUUUUGUUUCUCGCGAGACAGAUGUUGCUUAAGCAGUCUCAGUCUAGACCUCACUUGUUAGCCCUGCCCUGGGACCAGCUGCUCUAAAUUCUGUACCCUGCAGUAUUUUUCCGCGUUCCCCACCGUCCACACACUCCCCAGCGUCGACUGCCUCUUUCCAGAAAACUUUUUCCAUCUUCAUCAGAUACUAACAAGUACACUUUAAGGUUUAACAGGGCUU